CCUGGCAGGAGGGUGGCCUGGCUGCGCGGCGCCAACGCUUUCACCUUCUCCUCGGCUGAAGCGGAGUCAACAGCAAACUGAACAGAAUCUAACAGUGUGACCUUAAUUUGCCCAUCUCACCCUCUGGUUUCUGUUGUCCUCUUUUCAUUCCCAAGAACAAAAGCCACUUCUCUGCGUAGGAAUACAAAGAUUCCCAAACUCGCUUAACUCAGCCUUUGUCACAAGGCAGUCCAAAGAGUGAGAAACCCCAGGCAGGGAGCUGAUGGCUAUCCGUGGAGCUAGAGGGAAAAUCUGCACAUUGUAUUGCUGUUUAAUUCACUAAAACUUCUCCUUUACUGCUUGUGAGUGAAAACAACCAACAACAAAAUGCAGCAAAGCAAAGUCUUAACAGCUAUGCAAAUUUCUUUUUUUAAUAGAGCAAAAACCAACACCACCAAACAAACAACAACAGCAAACCCCCACCACCCCCCAGCACCACCAGGAGAAUUCUAACCAGUUUAAGUGCUGCCACUUAAGAUCUUGCCAAAGCACUGUAACUUCCAAGGAAGGAGGGAGAUGGCUUAGCUGUAGAGGGGCUGUUUGGAUAGCCUAACGAGAGCUCCAGCACCACGCCGAAGGAGCGGCGAUGCGGCGGUAGCCUCCCCGCUCGGCGCGGAUCGCAGCCUGGCUGCUCCUCCCCCCGGCAGGUACCUCCCCGCUAAGGAGCGCAGCCUCCACCUUCCCUUUGCUUCCAUCCUCUGCCCUCUGUGCUAGCUGCCCUGCUGCCGCCAGUGCAGGCAGUGGCAAUGGACACGGCGAUGUCUUCCUUCCCUCCCCGGAGCAGGAGUGGGAAUGCAGUUUGCGAGGUCUGAUGUGUAAGCCCUGUCCGUGUGUUGGCUCUUUCUUUUCUCCUUGAGCAGUAUGAUUGCUAAGGUGACUAGAGUUGUCCUGAGGUCCUUUCCAGUGGUCUGCCAGGACAUCAUCAUCAUGAAUGAAACUAUUUUUGUAUUGAUUUUUUUUUGGUUAGGAUGUAUGUUUUAACAUUCCAUUCCUGUAAAAUAUGUACAAGUACCUGUAAUAAACCUUUUGAAGCACA